UACGUAGGGUGCAAGCGUUAAUCGGAAUUACUGGGCGUAAAGCGUGCGCAGGCGGUUUUGUAAGUCUGUCGUGAAAUCCCCGGGCUCAACCUGGGAAUUGCGAUGGAGACUGCAAGGCUAGAAUCUGGCAGAGGGGGGUAGAAUUCCACGUGUAGCAGUGAAAUGCGUAGAGAUGUGGAGGAAUACCGAUGGCGAAGGCAGCCCCCUGGGCCAACACUGACGCUCAUGCACGAAAGCGUGGGGAGCAAACGAGGAUUACGAAACCC
rnacentral:rRNA from 1 species